rnacentral:rRNA from 1 species
GUGCCAGCCGCCGCGGUAAUACGAAGGGAGCUAGCGUUGUUCGGAAUUACUGGGCGUAAAGGGCGCGUAGGCGGUUUGGCAAGUUGGAUGUGAAAGCCCUGGGCUCAACCCGGGAAUUGCAUUCAAGACUGCCUUGCUUGAAUUCGGUAGAGGUUGGUAGAAUUCCCAGUGUAGAGGUGAAAUUCGUAGAGAUUGGGAAGAAUACCCGUGGCGAAGGCGGCCAACUGGACCGACAUUGACGCUGAGGCGCGAAAGCGUGGGGAUCAAACAGGAUUAGAUACCCUCGUAGUCC